UAAUAAAAUGGCUGAAGAUUAAGCGAUAAAUUGUAAAUUUAUUUAUAAGAGAAAUUCUUUUUUAUUAA
rnacentral:tRNA from 1 species